CCGUGUGUAAAAAAUAAAAGACCAUUCAUGGUUAAUAUAAAAUUAUAAAUUAGCUGCCCAUCUAUGGUUUCAUACAUCUGUUUGCAAAUGUUAAUAUGGACAUCUAUUUUUGACAAACUCUUUGCUAACGUUAAGGAUGCGCCAUUUCGCUUUAAAUUACCUAUUCAAACUUUUCCUCAUUUUAUGGUUUAUUAUCUUUCAUCAGACAAUCUUGAUUGUUGAAGAUAGAAAAAAAAUCGACAUUAUCGCCAAGAUUGGGUCCCAUGCAUGUUGUAUCUUGCAAUAAUUUAACCCCAAAAGAAACUACAAUGUAAAUAACAUAGGAGGAGUGUGUGGUAGUCACAUCACAUGGUAUGAGUGAGAUAUAUAACACUUUUUUUUUUUUUUUUUUUGAGAAAGAGCCUAAGAUAUAACACUUUCUUGUGACCACAACCUUCGCAAAUGCAAAUUAUCAACGUUUGUGUAAGACUUUGUAUUUCGUCGCAACCCGUUGAGUGGUCCACCUUUUUGUUCUUCUCCAGUAAAUGCCUAAAUCUACACUGUUUUUUCACAUGAAUAUAUUUUCAGAGAUUGACAUUAUUCGCACGUUCAGUUUGUAAUGAUAUUUUACAAGAUGUGUAGUUUAUUACUAAAAGAAAAGAUUGUAUGUGAUGAAUAGCUUAUGAUAGUAUCUAUAUACUAGUAUAUUACUUUGGGCUGAAUACGAUAAUAUUGUAAAUUAUUCAAGCAUCGACAGUUCAAAGACUGCUGCUUGAGUUUGAUCCAUGUCGAGUUCUUUCACAUCCUUUUCAUAUCUUUUUGCUUUCUGGUUACUCUCAUGGAAUCCAUUUCCUUUCUAUUUCUUUCUCUCCUCAUCUUGGUUUGCCAGCACCUAUAGUGAAUUUCAUUAUGUGUAAAUAAAUUAUUUAUGUGUGUAAGCAACCAACUAUUCUGCAUUAAAUAGGAACAUGACCUAUUUAUCAAUAUCAUACUAGUUAGUCGGAGUAGAGAAAUGAGACAUGCAUCACAUGUAUGAACAUUUUAUAAUAAUUCACAAUGUUAACUGUUUAUAUAAGAUCAUACUAGUAGCAUGGUAUGUGGAUUAGUUUUUAUAGUUUUGUUAUCGGCUUACUUAUGUGCUAUGCUACUGUGGUGUAGGAGUUCAAAUGACUUUAUCAUGAAGACUACAACUUUGAGUACUUUCUGCCAUUUGACAAGUCUCAGCUAGGAAGCUGAUGGGAAACAUAAGAGAGGAGCCGAGUCUCAUCAUUUGACAAUUCACCAGAUUAUUGUUCUCAGUACUGAUACCAAUUGAUAUGGCUAAAUUUCCAAGACAACUUGGGCGUUAAUACUCUAAA